rnacentral:rRNA from 1 species
UACGGAGGGGGCAGGCGUUAUUCGGAAUUACUGGGCGUAAAGAGCGCGUAGGUGGUUGAUUAAGUUAUCUGUGAAAUCCCUGGGCUUAACCUGGGCAGGUCAGAUGAUACUGAUUAACUCGAGUAUGGGAGAGGGUAGUGGAAUUUCCGGUGUAGCGGUGAAAUGCGUAGAGAUCGGAAGGAACACCAGUGGCGAAGGCGGCUACCUGGACUAAUACUGACACUGAGGCACGAAAGCGUGGGGAGCAAACAGG